UACGUAGGGUGCGAGCGUUGUCCGGAAUUAUUGGGCGUAAAGAGCUCGUAGGCGGUGUGUCACGUCGGCCGUGAAAACCUGGGGCUUAACUCUGGGCGUGCGGUCGAUACGGGCAUCACUAGAGUUCGGCAGGGGAGACUGGAAUUCCUGGUGUAGCGGUGAAAUGCGCAGAUAUCAGGAGAAACACCGGUGGCGAAGGCGGGUCUCUGGGCCGAUACUGACGCUGAGGAGCGAAAGCUAGGGGAGCGAAUGGG
rnacentral:rRNA from 1 species